rnacentral:lncRNA from 1 species
GCAUGUGAAGUGUUUAUUAGCCCAGUGCCUGGAAUAUUAUAAACACACAGAUAUAUGAUUGACAUUUUUUGUUAGUUAUCACUGGUUAUGUUAUCUUGGCUCCUUCUUAAUUUUUUAUUUUAUUUUGA